UAGGGAAUCUUCCACAAUGGGCGAAAGCCUGACGGAGCAACGCCGCGUGUGUGAUGAAGGCUUUCGGGUCGUAAAGCACUGUUGUAUGGGAAGAACAGCUAGAAUAGGAAAUGAUUUUAGUUUGACGGUACCAUACCAGAAAGGGACGGCUAAAUACGUGCCAG
rnacentral:rRNA from 1 species